UGCAGAACGCGUGAGGUAUUCUUUAGCAUUAAGUGUUAAUGUAGAGACAGAAAGUAUUGAAAUUUUCGUAAGUCUAUGAGAAUUUACUGCUGGGUUGCUUUGUUACAAAUUGAACUGUGAGGGAACGGGGAAAUAUUCUGUAUGAAAACCGAAAUGACACGAAAUUGAGCAUAACAGAUUGCUUUCUUCAUACUAUAUUUCCUUCCUAAUGUCCGAACAAACAAGGCAAAAUGAUUAAAGUGCUGUGAUUUGUGAUACACCAAAUUUUUGGUUUAGCUCACUGGACAUUAUUCAAUAAGAAUUAUUAAUCACAAUUUAUUUAAUUAAGAACAUGCAGUGAAAUAUAAGAUUACGAAUGGUUUUCAACGGUGUUUAUAAAUUUGUUUACAUGUGAAAAGAUUUAGAAAAAAUGCAAAUUAAACAAGCAUCGAAUUAUGUCUGUGCAUUUAAAAGGGCUAUUCAAUACACUUUUAUAUGAAAAAUCUACCGUUGCAACAAAUUAUAAUCUUGAGAACAAAGCUCUCCUUAUACACCGAUGACACUCCGUGAUCGGACGAAAGAGUGAAUUGAUGAAGGACAUAUAUCCCUUUCUAAUUGGCAAAAAUGAUAGCUUUAAAAUAGUCCAAUUAAAACUCUGUAAUAUUAUUGUAGACUUAAAGAGCAUAUGUCAAUUCUUUAAAGGAACACAACUUGCAAUUUCAUUACACCAACACAGUGGCUCACAGGAUACAAGACAUGAAGUUCUAAAUAUUCAAACAAUACAAAUAUACACAAAUAUAGUACUACGGAAUACUUUUAGAAGAAAAUUACAAAUCCAUUUUUGACUGUAGAUAUCCUAAACGAAUAACAAUUCCAGUGAAAUUCCUCCCAUGUGACA